rnacentral:rRNA from 1 species
UACGUAGGGUGCAAGCGUUAAUCGGAAUUACUGGGCGUAAAGCGUGCGCAGGCGGUUUUGUAAGUUUGUCGUUGAAAUCCCCGGGCUCAACCUGGGAAUGGCGAUGAAGACUGCAAGGCUAGAAUCUGGCAGAGGGGGGUAGAAUUCCACGUGUAGCAGUGAAAUGCGUAGAGAUGUGGAGGAACACCGAUGGCGAAGGCAGCCUCCUGGGCCAGCACUGACGCUCA